rnacentral:rRNA from 1 species
UGGGGAAUUUUGGACAAUGGGCGAAAGCCUGAUCCAGCAAUGCCGCGUGUGUGAAGAAGGCCUUCGGGUUGUAAAGCACUUUUGUCCGGAAAGAAAUCCUCUGGGUUAAUACCUCGGGGGGUAUGACGGUACCGGAAGAAUAAGCACCGGCUAACUACGUGCCAGCAGCCGCGGUAAUACGUAGGGUGCAAGCGUUAAUCGGAAUUACUGGGCGUAAAGCGUGCGCAGGCGGUUUUGUAAGACGGAUGUGAAAUCCCCGGGCUUAACCUGGGAACUGCAUUCGUGACUGCAAGGCUAGAGUAUGGCAGAGGGGGGUUAGAAUUCCACGUGUGGCAGUGAAAUGCGUAGAGAUGUGGAGGAAUACCGAUGGCGAAGGCAGCCCCCUGGGCCAAUACUGACGCUCAUGCACGAAAGCGUGGGGAGCAAACAGGAUUAGAUACCCUGGUAGUCCACGCCCUAAACGAUGUCAACUAGUUGUUGGGGAUUCAUUUCCUUAGUAACGUAGCUAACGCGUGAAGUUGACCGCCUGGGGAGUACGGUCG